UGUCUGUGGUUCUAAAUAGUUAUCAUGUUCUAUCAAACCGUUAUCUUUUCAGUUUUUCUGUGGCUAAUUUGUAGUUAUAAUUUAGUCUUUCUAUCAUUUGGCUUAUCCUUUCAGAUAUGGAGCUGUAUGUUGUUUAUCUUUACCUUUGUUGGUUUGUUUUGAAAAAAAACCAAAAAGAUGGCAAUUGGAUGGCAUGAGAAUUAGCAACACAGUUACCAAUUACAUUAUUUGUCCACACAAGACAUAGCGGAGGAUUCUUGGCCAUUCAUAUCAUGUAUCAUCCUCGAGUUUGGUUUCACUCAAUAAUUUUAUUUUAUACUUGUUCAUUUUUAAAUUAUAAUUUACCCACAUAAGACAUAGCAUGGGGUUCUUGGCCCUUCAUGUCAUGUAUCCUCGAGUUUUGUUUCAUUCAAUCAUUUUAUUUUAGGGUCAUGCUGACGUGUCUACGAAUUUG
rnacentral:lncRNA from 1 species